rnacentral:rRNA from 1 species
AGCAGCCGCGGUAAUUCCAGCUCCAAUAGCGUAUAUUAAAGUUGUUGCAGUUAAAAAGCUCGUAGUUGAAUUUCGGGAUCAGCAGGUCGGUCGUGCCAAUGGUAUGCACUGGCCUUGCUGAUUCCUCCCUCUUGAUGAGCCGUAAUGCCAUUAAUUUGGUGUUGCGGGGAAUCAGGACUGUUACUUUGAAAAAAUUAGAGUGUUUAAAGCAGGCUCACGCUUGAAUACAUUAGCAUGGAAUAACGGAAUAGGACGUUUGAUUCUAUUUUGUUGGUUUCUAGGAUCGACGUAAUGAUUAAUAGGGAUAGUUGGGGCAUUAGUAUUCAAUUGUCAGAGGUGAAAUUCUUGGAUUUAUUGAAGACUAACUACUGCGAAAGCAUUUGCCAAGGAUGUUUUCAUUAAUCAAGAACGAAAGUUAGGGGAUCGAAGACGAUCAGAUACCGUCGUAGUCUUAACCAUAAACUAUGCCGACUAGGGAUCGGAUGAUGUUAAUUUUUUUAAUGUACU